CACGUAGGGCGCGAGCGUUGUCCGGAAUUAUUGGGCGUAAAGAGCUCGUAGGCGGCCUGUUGCGUCCGCUGUGAAAGCCCGGGGCUUAACCCCGGGUCUGCAGUGGAUACGGGCAGGCUAGAGGUAGGUAGGGGAGAAUGGAAUUCCCGGUGUAGCGGUGAGAUGCGCAGAUAUCGGGAGGAACACCGGUGGCGAAGGCGGUUCUCUGGGCCUUACCUGACGCUGAGGAGCGAAAGCGUGGGGAGCGAACAGG
rnacentral:rRNA from 1 species